rnacentral:rRNA from 1 species
GACAGAGGGUGCAAACGUUGUUCGGAAUUACUGGGCGUAAAGCGCGUGUAGGCGGCCCUGCAAGUCGGGUGUGAAAGCCCAGGGCUUAACCCUGGAACUGCUUUUAAAACUGGGUCACUAGAAUGUAGGAGAGGUAGAUGGAAUUCCGAGUGUAGAGGUGAAAUUCGUAGAUAUUCGGAAGAACACCAGUGGCGAAGGCGGCUCACUGGUCCGGUACUGACGCUGAGGUGCGAAAGCGUGGGGAGCAAACAGG